GUGUGAGUGUGGUAGUGAGUGGGGGACAGAGUCAGUGAGUGAGAGUGAGUGGGAGAAAGAGUCAGUGAGUGAGAGUGAGUGGGAGACAGACUGAGUGAGUGGAGCGCUAACACCGCGUCGCCCCCUACACUGAUCUUAUUUGAUCGGCCGGCAUCCCGGGCGCCGGGCCGACGUGAUGAGAAGCCGCGUGUGAGCUCCGGCGGUGAGCGGGCGGCGGCCAAGCCCCGGGUUGGCGGAUGUGAUGAACCGAUCAGAUAGACGAGGCUGCGGCUGUGCCCGGCCGCUGAGUAUCGAGGCGAUUCUGAUCCGC